UUAGACUCGAUCCCUCUUCGUCUUCGUCUUCCUCUUCCUCUUCCGUUCUUCCUUAAGUACUCAAUCAAAAACAUUUGUAGCUUGAAGGUAGAGAGAUCAAGCGACUGAGAGAGAGAGAGAGAGAGUGGUGUGGAAACGAAAGCAUGAUCUAAGUUUUUCCUCUCAGAUAUUCCGACAACAGUAUUCUCCGAUCGGAGCUUUGAGACAUUCCGACAGAAGCAUAAAAAGAUCGUUCCUUUCGUGUGUCUGUGUGUGUGAGGGGGUUUGUCGGAAAAAUGUAGCGGUACGGUCGCGCCGGUGAAGAAGAGCCGCGAUCGGAUCCGUCGAUUGAAUAGACCUCUCAUGGAGUCCAAACCAGAGUCGAAGGUAACCUUCGAUGUGGCGGUUAGGGUUAAGCGGCGGCGGAGCUGGAGGAGGAGGAGGAGGAGGAGAAGCGUACCCGGAGCGAUCAAAUGAGCCUGAUCGUGGAGCGGCGUUUGCGGGUACGGUUCAAGAUGUCGGUUUAAUCACCCGCGAGAUCGUGGAGCGUUGUUGGAGGUGUGAGAGGAGGAGUUGGAGGAGAUGGAGCUUUACCGGAGAGAAUGGGACAACCGGUUUGUCAGCAUUUUAUGCGAACGGGAACGUGUAAGUACGGUGCUUCUUGCAAAUAUCAUCAUCCCAGACAAGGAGGAGGAGGUUCCGUUGCUCCUGUGGCAGGGGUGUUCAAGGAGUUUGGUUUUUGAUUGAACCGAGGGUGGUCGUGUACCUCUCUUUGUGGGAUGAUGUUGCAUCAAUGUUUAAGGGUCUCAUCAACUCAGGUGAUAGGACACAAUCUGUCAUGGUGGUCACUAUAUAUGAAUCCCAAAAUAUUUGGAGGUAACCUAUACCUAAACUCAACGCCAGCAACAAAAUUUUAUUUCAACCCAACCCUUCAAGCUAUCUCAGAGUUCACAGCCAGCUUAGAAGGCACAGUGGGAUAAGCCUUUUUCCUGCAUCGACACCAAAGACGGCAUUAAAAAAAAAAAGUUGUCUCCAUAGGAGAGGAGAGGCUCAACAAGUUCAUUACCAACUCUAAUGAACAAGUAAAAUUCCAGGUUCCAGAUGAAAUUAAGUUGUGUUUGGAUUGUAGACAAGAAUUUGUGAAUAAUUAAUCUACUGCCUUUGGUGAAGACACAUGAAGCUGAUUUCAUUUGCAAGGGUCGGGUUGUAGAAGUCCACUUUCUCAUGUCUGUUUUUUAAAUUACCAUGCGUUUACUCUUUUAAGACUUUCUAAUAUUUCCACUUUCUCAUGUCUUAUUUUAAAAAGACAACUCUAUCUCCAAUGUAAGUCAUCGGAGGAUGAGAUUUUCUUAAUUUUAAGUUUCAAAAGAUUUCACGUUA